rfam:Parasporobacterium paucivorans DSM 15970 genome assembly, contig: EJ69DRAFT_scaffold00002.2
AAAAAGGAUUUACUCAAAUCCAUCCAAAAGUAUAAUGCAGAAUUCG